rnacentral:rRNA from 1 species
UUUGCCUGGCCAUACCUGCUUGUCAAAGCCUGAUCUCGUCAGAUCUCAGAGGGUAAGCAAGGUUGGGCCUGGUUAGUACUUGGAUGGCAGACCUCAUGGAAAAUCAGGUGCCCGUAGCAAAA